CUACAAUGAAACGGGAUGAUUUUCCUUUCCAAAGCUGCUCCACCUGGGUGGUCUUCCCUUACAGGUGAUCAGGCAUCUUGGUCCUGAGGGGUCCAUUGCCUGCGCUACUCCUCUGUUAGGGACUUUCAAGCAUGCUAAGUGUUGUCUUUCUACCAGGCUGUGAGCGCCUUGCCAUGGUUUUGUUCCUAUCUGUCUCCGCAACUCAGUGCUUGGCACAUGUACCUUCCUUAGGGCUCUCCACUUGAUCCAUCCUCAGGAAGUGACUCAGUUCCUUCACCAGGCUCCUCCCAGGCCCAGGAGUGAAUGUCUUCUGGCCAUGGUCCAGAGUUUGACAAAAAGGAAAACUUAACAAGGGAACCAUAACACACGUCCUCCUCGCACGGCUCGGCUCGUAAGCACAUCCUGUUGGCAGAGGCACUGUAGCCACUGGCAUUGUCCUAAAGAAGGAAGGGCUGCAGCAGGCUGACUAGCCCUGCCGGAGCGGGCAGCCAACUGGACCAAUCCCAG
ensembl:lncRNA